CUACCACAAUCCAGGUAGGAGGUGACAGUGCUGCAGCCAGGCUGCACGGCGAAGGAUGGGAGGGGCCCCCGGAGAAACCUGAAUCAGCCCUUCCCGCUGAGGCGUAUGGCCCAAUGAAGUUGGAGGGGUGAAUUCGAAGCAAGACCUCAAGCAGGGGGUGAAGCGGACAUGAUGUAGAGAAGCUGCUGCUGAUGGCAAUGGGACCAGAAAAGGGGGGCCUAAGGAAGAGAGAACAUGAGAAGCAAAAAGGGCAGCCCCUUAACCUUCAACCUCAGAGGCUCGUGUGGGAGAAACCCAGUCAGGUCUGAGGGGAGAUCUCACAGCAAGGGGGUGGGUGGGACUUGACUCAGAUUGCAGUGGGGAGAAAUUUUAAUGACACCCCCUCCCUAGCAAACCAGCGAUGCAAGAUGGUGCCAGCACAAUAUGGUGCCAAUCAGGAGGUGGUUUGGAAUGGCUGAGGAAGGGAGUCUGGGAAGUGGCUUCAUGCAACGCUGCUCGUUCUAGUGAGAAUGCAGCCAGGUAGUCCUAGGUCCCAGGGGCCGCAGAGCCAAGAUCUGCCUCACCAGCUAUGUGCAGGGACCACGCACUUUGGCUUCACCUCUUCCUGCCCCUACCCCACCAGCAAGCCCCAGGGACCAGAACCAUCUCUGUCCUGCGUGUGUGUGUGUGUUGUGUGUGUGUGUGUGUGUGUGUGUGUGUGUGUGUGUGUAAGAAUGCAGGGGACUCCACUCAGACCUUCAACCCUCUUGUCCCACCACCGUGAGGCCCAUGAACAUCUCUCUGCACCAGGAAAUUAUCUUGGCUGGGAGAAGGCGGAAGGGUGAGAAAACCUUGGAAUACUGAGCAAUUUUACUCAAAAGAGACUGAGUUAAUCAUACAGAAAUGGAGCUAUGUCUAAGGGGCAAUUUAAUGCUUUCUUUUUGUUUGUUUUCUUUUUGCCCGUCAGUAGUAGGAAUUAUCAGAUCACGAUGAGAAGAGUAUAAGAAAAAGUAAGAACAAUACUGAUUUGACCCAUCUGGGUAGGUGUGUGUGUGUGAUCUUUAGCCCUCCCACAAUUAUGUCUGUACACGUUUGCUGGGGCAACUGUAUAUUUUCAAUUCCAAUCGUCAGACCUUUCCUUGAAGCUCACGUGUGUUUUGAUCUGGCCAGGAAUUGAGAAUCAUAAAAUCAUUAAAUCUGUAUUAAUUACCUAUUGCUGCAUAGUAAGUUAAUCCAAAAUUUAGCUGAAAUAAAUAUGUAUUAUCUCA
rnacentral:lncRNA from 1 species